AGAGAAUCUCAAGCGGGCUCUAUACCAAGUGUGGAGCCCCACGUGGGGCUUAAUCCCACAAACCAUGAAAUCAUGACCUGAGCUGAAAUCAAGAGUCGGACGCUCAACCAACUAAGCCACCCAGAAAUUCCAAUGAAGACUUGCACCUAUGUGUUUCUUUCAUUCCUUCUGCCUCCUGACCAACCUUAGUGCAUCCCCAUGUGGCCAUGUGUGGCAUACCAUGCCACCAUUUCUUAAGAAUUUUAAGUAUUAAACUCUUCAUUCAAAAGCAA